rnacentral:rRNA from 1 species
AUGGCAAAAUUCUGGUGGAGUAGCUCCAUCGACAGGCGUUCGCUGCAUUGGAUGUCUUGGGAGAAGCUGUCCGCACCAAAAAUACAGGGCGGGAUGGGCUUUCGGGAGUUUGAAAAGUUUAACCUAGCGCUUCUCGGGAAGCAUGGCUGGCGGCUCCUAACCCAUCUGAAUACCCUCUGUUCGCGAGUUCUCAAAGGAAAAUACAUUCCUAAUGGAGAAUUUUUGCAGGCUCACGCUCCAGCUUCUUCCUCCGCUACAUGGAAGGCGAUUAUAGCCGGGCGUACAGCUUUGCAAACAGGCCUAAUCAAGAGGGUAGGCAAUGGCGAGUCAAUUUCUGUUUGA